AGCGAACGCUGGCGGCAGGCCUAACACAUGCAAGUCGAACGGGCUCUUCGGAGCUAGUGGCGGACGGGUGAGUAACACGUGGGAACGUGCCUUUAGGUUCGGAAUAAGCCCGGGAAACUGGGUCUAAUACCGGAUGUGCCCUUCGGGGGAAAGAUUUAUCGCCUUUAGAGCGGCCCGCGUCUGAUUAGCUAGUUGGUGGUGUAAUGGACCACCAAGGCGACGAUCAGUAGCUGGUCUGAGAGGAUGAUCAGCCACAUUGGGACUGAGACACGGCCCAAACUCCUACGGGAGGCAGCAGUGGGGAAUCUUGCGCAAUGGGCGAAAGCCUGACGCAGCCAUGCCGCGUGAAUGAUGAAGGUCUUAGGAUUGUAAAAUUCUUUCACCGGGGACGAUAAUGACGGUACCCGGAGAAGAAGCCCCGGCUAACUUCGUGCCAGCCGCCGCAGUAAAAC
rnacentral:rRNA from 1 species